AACAAUCGGUUGCUACCCGGAUUUACAGAGCGGUUUCUUUUUGGUAAUUCUGUUGUACAGUAGGCAGUGAGAAAGUUUUCUUGGAUAUGAACUAGUUGAAAAAGCAAAAAUAUGGAAUCAAUCGCAUUCGUGAGAGGAAUAGGAGGUAUUAUUUGAGUUUGUGUGAUUAAUACGAUAUUUUAAUGUUCACGUAUGCCAUUGCCCUGAUCAUAACCUCGUCAUUGGAUAUCGCGAUCAUGAGGAAAAAGGAAUGAAAUCUUCACCUGAAACAGUGAUACAAUAAUUUUGCAAGAGUAACAAUUGGAAUAACUAGAAACAACAAAAAUGGAAUGGAACUGAUGGAAUGUGUACGGAUUGGUGCCCGCAUAUGAAUCGCUAACCAAAAUGUCUGAGAUUUUAUAAGUAUUGUGCUCGGACUUUAUGAAAUCAUGAAGUUUAUGGAUCUAACACGUUACAUUACAUUUGAUCUGUUCGCCACAUAACCUCACUGAUUGCAUCAUGAGUAUGGAAUUAUCGGCAUUUAUAGGAUUUAAAAUACGCAUUGUUUGCGUAUAUGUGUUAUUUAUCCAAUAAUUUCAUCCGCAACCAUGCUGUUGAGAUCAUAACUUUGCUAAUGAAUAUCGGAACGAUAUCAUGAAUGUGCCGAUAACAACAAUCAGCGGAACACUGCUGGCAAGCCAUGCAGGGGUUGGACAUCGCAAACCCCAUUUGGGAGAACGUAUCCAUGCAGGACAUGUUUCAAAUAGCAAGCAACGAUAGAUUGUGUUGACAAGUGAACAGUUAAUUUGGCUAAGAAUAGCUUUAAGCUGGAAAGGAGCUAGAAGCAUUUGAUCGUAUUUGAAUAAUUUUUGUUGGUAAAAUGUAAUUUGAAUCAUCUGCUUGUUUGAGUCGCAGUAACAUUAACUUAAUUAUUUGCGAAUCGAUGAGUGGAGUGAUUGGUUGAGGUUCUUUUUCUUGUUGUAAUAACCCCGUUAAGGGCUUACAAGGCUUUUCCCUUUGUGUAAGUUGAUAGCCAGUCCUCUCCAACAGGGGUCCGGUAUCGGUUGGAUUCGAACGCACGCCGUCGAGUGUGUCGCGUAUUGUCUAGCUAUACCAUGCUCAAGUGCCGGUUCUUUUACGCACCAGAAUCACUCUCUAUAAGAUAUGAAAUAAGUGUUUCAGCGAACAGUACACAGUUUUUUCAACAGCUGUUUUGAACCGUAUUCCGUAAUUGAACAAUAUAAAUAUGUAUUGCGUUCGAAAGAGAUGUCUUCGAAGUGCUGCGCGGUAAGCAAAUAUUUUACAUAACUCACCUAUCAAAAUGGCGAUUUAUUAUUUUUAAACGGGCAAUGUGAAUUGAUUUUUCUGCGAUGAAUUUUGUUUGAUUUGGUUUGUUGCAACUUGGUGUAAAUAUUAACACGUUGACUGCCAUGGCUAUCAUUUUUGAUAGCCAGUGAUAUUUCCGGGAGGGCCAUAGCUAUCAUUUUCGAUAGCCACCUAUCAUGAUUGUUGAAGUAUUAAACCUUUGAAAUGAAAAAUUUUACUUACAAAUCCUUCGAUACUUACAAAGUUACAUCUCCUUAGCUCUCUCUUUCAAUUAAGCUUUACAUAAUUUGUGGUUGGUUUUAAAAUAACUGUAGUGUGCAAAAAUUUUAGAACCAUUUUUAG